UCUUUCUGACGCACAGAGAAAAGCCGAUCAGCUGAUCGGGACAAAUCGCGUUGCUUUUCACCUCAACUUUAAAGUUCGACCUCCUCGGCUGUAAUUGGUCCAGCCCAGAGUCGAUCAUGACCAACUGGCCAAUACACCACUAUUCAUUUAUACCGUUGAAAAAAUAAAAGAAAUAAAACCCCAUCGGCCCAUAAAAACGAAAAAUCACGAGCGGCCCACCGGGCAAAUGCCCGGUAUGCCCGAUGGCCAGUCCAGCUAUGUCUGGGGACACCAGUGUAUGACUGAUGGUAUUCCAUUGGGUGUGUUGUUUUGUUUUUUUUCCCCUCCACCUGUGCUUUCACUGUAUUGUCAUGCUGGAAAAUUAACCUCUUUUAUAAACGGUAUUGCAUGGUGGACCAAAACCUUGUUCAUAAGAAAAGGCGCACCAAACCAUGACUGACCGUCCAUUGUGUUUUACAGGUGGCUAUAAACGCUCCCUGCUGUACCCUUUUCCAGCUGACCUCUGUACAUCCGAUUUGAACCAAAAAUUUCAAAUAUGGAUUACUCACGCCAUAAGAUCCAAUUUGCAGUCCAGUCUUGUAUAAUGUAGCACACCUCAGCCUUUCCCCCCAGUUUCCCUUUCUUAAGAAUGGCUUCUUGACAGCCACCCUUUCACUGAGACAAUUUCUGAUGAGAAUUCUGCAAACUAAGGCUGAAGAAAUUGUUUUUUGUGACAUGAUAAAGGUAACAAAGUGCCUAAAGAAAGUUUAAAACUGGUUCUUUGCCUAUAGAGACAACACUGGUUCAUCCCUCGAGUUAGAAGCCUUUUUAUUGCAUGAAUGUUGCUUAACAAUGUUAAGCACAAAACAUUUAUUUGUUUUGUACUUAAAUGUUGUGUUAAGUAGCUUUAAACAUUCCUCUAAAAAUUGUCAGGUACAAGAACUGGACUGAAAAUGGUUGAAAAGCAGCCAAUAUCUGAAACAGGUUUGGAAUAUUUCCAGGAAGCCUGGAGAACUACUGGUCAAGAGCACUUUAAUAACUAGGUAAAAAUGACAAAGUCUGGCUCCUUGGGAGCAAAAGUAAAUGAGGGGGUCUUUUUCACAACACUCUUUGUACCUGCACUUCAUUUUAGCUAUUGCUUAGCUGGUAUUAAAGAAGAAAACUAAUCUGGAUCACCCAUUUCCUUUGCUGUCUCCAUUCAGGAGAUAUGAAUGUACAUGGUUAAAUUAAGCUUGAUCUAAUGGUCGCCACUAGGUGGAGGUACUAGGCUCAUGGUUCACACUUAACUACCCUAACUCCUCAGGAAUUAAAAUUAAUUGACUGCACUGCAAAUAUGCACUUCUGCUGGCACAAAAUAUUUACUUUAGACUCGUAAGGAUGCUUCAUUUAAUCUUCAUCUUUAUUGAGUAAUUCAGCUGGGAACAAAAUCUCAAUGUGCAACUAGAGGCCAUUUGAACAUUCCAAAUACUCUUCGGGUUAUAUUUGUUUACAUAUUACAGUGAAAUUUUUAUGAAAUACAAUAAGCCACAUUUAAAAAUAACAUGGCUACAACUAAGUUGAAAAUAUAGAAGCAAGCCCUGCAGACUGGAGCACAACAUCUUUUAGCCUCCUGAGAUGCAUUUACAUCUCACUGAUUACUGAUUGAGUAUAGAGAGACUACAUACUUGACUAAAACACAGAUUAUGGACAAGUUUUGGAGCUUGAAAUAUUAAUUUUUAACAUUAUCAUCUGAUAUUUGAAGGCACAGAAGCAGUGAUAACUUGACAUUUUCAACACCAUAGUGAAACAGUACAGCUGUUAUUACUUUGGUCUUAAAUAUAUGUGUAAGUAAAUAUACAGACACA